UACGAGGGGGGCGAGCGUUGUUCGGAAUUAUUGGGCGUAAAGGGUGCGUAGGCGGCCUGACAAGUCUGAUGUGAAAUCCCUGGGCUCAACCCAGGGCCUGCAUCGGAAACUGUCGGGCUUGAGUAUGGGAGAGGUGAGUGGAAUUUCCGGUGUAGCGGUGAAAUGCGUAGAUAUCGGAAAGAACACCAACGGCGAAAGCACUCUGCUGGGCCGACACUGACACUGAGAGACGAAAGCUAGGGGAGCGAAUGGG
rnacentral:rRNA from 1 species